GCAAAUAGAGAAUCAACAUAUUUGCAUUAUACAGUAUUUACCCAGCUAAAAGGUUAUGGCUGCCUUGUCAAUUGGGGUUUUAUUCUGAUGAAUACAAUUAUAUCAGAAAUUUAAUCCCCAAUAGAAAAUGCCUAAAAUCUCAAUUGUAUAACAACUAUUUACCUGAAUCGUGUAUAAUACUGGAAGCUUGCAAGCAAUUCUGGGUUGAGAACGAUUUUCUGAAGUUCAAUGAAGUCACUGUCACAACGGUCAAACCACGGCAGAGUUUCAUCAUGAUCGUCCUCCUCGUGAUCACAUUCUCCUUCUAGCCAUUUGUGCACGUUGCACACAUGGUAUGAUAAUGCAUCCACUUAUCCUAAAUAACACACCAAGAACUAUAAUUACACCGCUUAUUAAGAAAUUCUACAACUCAGCA
rnacentral:lncRNA from 1 species